rnacentral:lncRNA from 1 species
CCCCCCCUACCAUCAGUUUAAGAGGCAUACCACACAUGACCCAAGCGAUUAACCUUUCGCCACAAAUCCAUAUUCUCGUUUCCAUUUCAUGAACCUAAAGCCUUAUAGCUUCCAUCCUAAGGUUCCUAGGUCCAUACUAUACUUUCACCUUUCACGCUCUGAUACCAUUAUAUCUGUCACACACCGCGACCACCAAUUUGGUCGGUUCGGGCACGUCAACAGACGCCGAACGGACAGCACCUUUCCUGUCCGCCCAAGGCUCCACCAAUACAU